AUCCUGGCUUAGGACGAACGCUGGCGGCGUGCCUAAUACAUGCAAGUCGAACGGUCUUUCUAUGGAAGCUUGCUCCACUGAGAAGAUAGUGGCGAACGGGUGAGUAACACGUGGGUAACCUGCCCAUAAGAGGGGGAUAACAUCCGGAAACGGGUGCUAAUACCGCAUAGUUUUCUUGAUCGCAUGAUCGGGAAAGGAAAGACGGCCUUUGUGCUGUCGCUUAUGGAUGGACCCGCGGCGUAUUAGUCAGUUGGUGAGGUAACGGCUCACCAAGACGAUGAUACGUAGCCGACCUGAGAGGGUGAUCGGCCACAUUGGGACUGAGACACGGCCCAAACUCCUACGGGAGGCAGCAGUAGGGAAUCUUCCGCAAUGGACGAAAGCUGACGGAGCAACGCCGCGUGAGUGAAAGAAGGUUUUCGGAUCGUAAAACUCUGUUGUCAGAGAAGAACAAGUUGGAGAGUAACUGCUCCAGCCUUGACGGUAUCUGACCAGAAAGCCACGGCUAACUACGUGCCAGCCGCGGC
rnacentral:rRNA from 1 species